rfam:Acetobacter persici strain TMW2.1084, complete genome.
CCAGACGGUCGGACGGUCGCUGUUCUGCAUUAUGUGCAGGAGGGAGGAAAGUCCGGGCUCCACGGGAGAACGGUGCCAGCUAACGGCUGGCGAGGGUGACCUUAGGGAAAGUGCCACAGAAAACAAACCGCCUUCCGGGCGAUGUUUCAUGGGAAACCAUGGGACAAAGCUGAAGGUAAGGGUGAAACGGUGCGGUAAGAGCGCACCGCUCUUCUGGUAACAGCGGAGGCAGGGCAAACCCCACCGGGAGCAAGACCGAAUAGGAGCGGCGGAAACCUGCAAGGGUUUCAGGGGUUCUCCCGCCCCGCUGCUCGGGUUGGUUGCGCGAGGCACAUCGUGAGGUGUGUCCCAGACGAAUGACCGUCCAGGCUCUCCGGAGCUGGACAGAACCCGGCUUACAGACCGUCUGGCAUU